rnacentral:lncRNA from 1 species
CACCCGACCCCCAUCUCCGAGCGCCGGCUCUCUCGGCGAGGAUGGGAGGGGAGAGGAAAGAGACGAAAAAAAAAAAAGGGAGGGGGAAGGGUCGGAAAAAAAAAGGGGGGGAGGGAAGGGGGGGAGGGCAGCGCUGCUCACACCCCCACGACGCGCACACUCAGCGGCAGCAGCUACGCUCCCUCUACUUCUCCCCCGUCGCCCGCCGCGCCCUUACUUAUAGCCUCCCUUGCCCCGCCCCCAGCCUCGCCCCCAACACCACACCCCGCGCGGCCCAAGCCCCACCCAGCCCCGCGCGGCCCCCGGCUGGCCCCGCCCCGGCUGCCGGGGCUCCGCUCCCCGCCUGCGGCCUCCUGUUCCCCCCGCCGCGGCGCGCGGGGCCGCUCUGACGUCAGCGCGCUGCUCGCCCCUCAGCCCCGUUGCGUCACUGCCGAUGUCAAACCGUGCCCUUGUGCCCCUCAGUCCCGCGUGGAAGGGAAGGGGGGAGCGUUAAACUACAUCUCCCAUGACCACCGUGGCCCGCGGGGGCCUCGGCAGCGGCGAUGGCGAGGCUGGCAGGGACCGCCUACGCGGCUGGCACCCCUCGGGCUCUGGGGUGAUGCACGGACUCCUUCCAGAGGGGGCACGGGACGACCCCAGCCCCACAUCACCACCAGGCCCCACCUUCUCCGCGCCCGGCGGCUAAAAAUACACCCCACAGAUUUGCACCAGAGGCACAAGGAGAAUUUGACACACUUGCUGCAAAGAGGUUUUCAUGCCCCGAACGUGAAACCACCAGGACUGGCUGAAGGACACUCUGUGCCCAGGGACUGGGGAGCUGAGACCUGAAAUGGAAUUUCACUAGAGAUCCUACCAACAUUAAAUACUCUGUGAAGCCUCAGGAGCUCCUGAGAUGAUGGAUGACAUCAAGAGCCAAAAGAACAUGUACAAAGCAUCUGCAGAAAGAGAUCCUUAAUGACUGUGUGAAGUCUGUUGAUUUGUUGCCAG